ACAGAGAAGAGUUUGAUCCUGGCUCAGGAUGAACGCUAGCUACAGGCUUAACACAUGCAAGUCGAGCGGAACAGCUUCUGCUGUUUAGCGGCAGACGGGUGAGUAACACGUAUCCAACCUUUCCCUUACCCGGGUAUAGCCUCGGGAAACUGAGAGUAAUCCCCGAUGUGGUGUACGAGAAGCAUUUGUUGCACACCAAAGAUUCAUCGGUAAGGGGUGGGGAUGCGUUCCAUUAGCUAGUAGGCGGGGUAACGGCCCACCUAGGCGAUGAUGGAUAGGGGUUCUGAGAGGAAGGUCCCCCACACUGGAACUGCGACACGGUCCAGACUCCUACGGGAGGCAGCAGUGAGGAAUAUUGGACAAUGGUCGGAAGACUGAUCCAGCCAUGCCGCGUGAAGGAAGACGGUCCUAUGGAUUGUAAACUUCUUUUGUACGGGAGCAAUAAGGGCGUCGUGACGUCCGAUGAGAGUACCGUACGAAUAAGCAUCGGCUAACUCCGUGCCAGCAGCCG
rnacentral:rRNA from 1 species